CUGCCUCGGGCGGCGCUGUGCCCGCGCCCCUGCGCGAUGCAGUGUGGGAAUGGCUGUGGCGCUGGGGUUGGCUGAAAGAGGCGGCCAGUCGAGGUUUAAUGUCCGCCAUGUUGGCCGUGGCGUAUUGAGCAGAGCCGGAGCGGCAGAGAAGAGAAGCCAGCGCCUAGCCCAGCCGCGCCAGCCGGCGCCGCCGGGCUCCGCGUCGGAGUGCGCCCCGCCCCGCUGGGGGAGCCCCGGUCCCUCCAUGAGAGCGCUCGGCGGGGUCCGGCUCUCAGCUCGGAGCGCUCUCACUGCCGCCCCCCCCUCCCCAGUCGGAGCCGCCAUCGCUGCCUAACAUGAGCAAACUGUCGUUCCGGGCCCGGGCGCUGGACGCGUCCAAGCCACUGCCCGUCUUCCGCUGCGAGGAUCUGCCCGACCUGGCCGAAUAUGCCUCCAUCAACCGGGCUGUGCCGCAGAUGCCCACGGGCAUGGAGAAGGAAGAGGAGUCGGAACAUCAUCUUCAGCGAGCUAUCUCGGCACAACAGGUAUAUGGAGAGAAGAGGGAUAAUAUGGUUAUACCGGUCCCAGAGGCAGAAAGUAAUAUCGCUUACUAUGAAUCUAUAUAUCCUGGGGAAUUUAGGAUGCCAAAGCAGCUCAUUCAUAUACAGCCUUUUAGUUUGGAUGCUGAACAGCCGGAUUAUGACUUGGAUUCAGAAGAUGAGGCCUUUGUGAAUAAAUUGAAGAAAAGAAUGGACAUCUCUCCUUUGCAGUUUGAGGAGAUGAUAGACAGGCUAGAAAAGGGCAGUGGUCAGCAGCCAGUCAGCCUGCAGGAGGCCAAACUGCUUCUGAAGGAAGAUGAUGAAUUAAUUAGAGAAGUGUAUGAGUACUGGAUUAAAAAGAGGAAAAACUGUCGAGGUCCCUCUCUCAUCCCAGCAGUAAAACAAGAGAAGCGAGAUGGUUCCAGCACAAAUGAUCCUUAUGUUGCUUUUAGAAGGCGAACAGAAAAGAUGCAGACUCGAAAAAAUCGAAAGAAUGAUGAAGCAUCUUAUGAAAAGAUGCUUAAGUUGCGUCGAGAUCUGAGUCGUGCAGUAACUAUCCUAGAGAUGAUAAAGAGAAGAGAAAAAAGCAAGAGGGAGUUAUUGCAUUUAACACUGGAAAUUAUGGAAAAGAGGUAUAAUUUGGGUGACUACAGUGGAGAGAUCAUGUCUGAGGUUAUGGCACAGCGGCAGCCAAUGAAACCUACCUAUGCCAUCCCCAUCAUUCCUGUUACAAAUAGCAGUCCAUUUAAGCAUCAAGAAGCCAUGGAACUGAAGGAAUUCAAAGUUAACAAGCAAGAGAAAGCUGAUGUUAUAAGACCCAAAAGGAAAUAUGAGAAAAAGCCCAAAGUCUUACCUUCAUCUGCUGCUGCUACUCCUCAACAGACAAGUCCUGCUGCACUGCCAGUCUUUAAUGCUAAAGAUCUGAAUCAGUAUGAUUUCCCCAGCUCAGAUGAAGAACCUCUUUCCCAAGUUAUGUCUGGUUCCUCCGAAGCUGAGGAAGAAAAUGAUCCUGAUGGUCCUUUUGCUUUCCGUAGGAAAGCAGGUUGUCAGUACUAUGCUCCUCAUUUAGAUCAGACUGGCAACUGGCCAUGGAGUAGUCCUAAAGAUGGAAGAUUAGGAGAUGUCCGCUAUAGAUACUGCUUAACCACGCUCACUGUACCCCAAAGGUGUAUUGGGUUUGCACGAAGACGGGUUGGGCGUGGCGGAAGGGUGCUACUGGACAGAGCGCAUUCAGACUACAACAGUACGUUUCGCCAGCUGGAUUUGGAAAUGCUUUCCUCAACGCAACACUCUUCAAUCAGUCAAGUUGCCAAUACCUCAGAAACAAAUACCUCGGACAAAUCUUUCUCUAAAGACCUCAGUCAGAUACUAGUCAAUAUCAAAUCAUGUAGAUGGCGGCAUUUUAGGCCUCGGACACCAUCGCUACAUGACAGUGACAAUGAUGAACUCUCCUGUAGGAAAUUAUACAGGGGUAUAAAUCGAACAGGCACAGCACAACCUGGGACCCAGACAUGCAGUACCUCUAUACAAAGUAAAAGUAGCAGUGGUUCAGCACACUUUGCAUUUACAGCCGAACAAUACCAGCAACAUCAACAGCAACUGGCACUAAUGCAGCAACAGCAGUUUGCACAAAUUCAUCAACAGCAAGCAAAUAGUAAUUCCUCUGCCAACACUUCACAGAACCUUGAAACUAACGAACAGGAAAGUGGCUUUCGCCUGAAUCUACAUCAUAGCCAUUCUGUAAAGUGUUUAGAAGGGACACUGCAGGGUUUUGUUUCCAAGACAUUGGAUUCUGUUAGUGCUCAGUUUGCUGCUUCAGCUUUGGUAACAUCAGAACAAUUGAUGGGAUUCAAAAUGAAGGAUGAUGUGGUGCUUGGAAUUGGGGUGAAUGGCAUCCUUCAGGCCUCAGGAGUAUACAAGGGCUUACACCUCAGUAGUACUACACCUACAGCACUUGUACAUACAAGUUCAUCGUCAGCAGCAGGUUCAACCUUGUUACCACCUUCAAAUAUAACACAGACUUCGAGUUCCCACAGUGCACUGAGUCACCAAGGAACUGCUGCCAACUCUGCAACAACUCAGGUCCUGAUUGGGAACAACAUUCGAUUAACUGUACCCUCAUCGGUUGCCACUGUAAACUCUAUUUCAACACUCAAUGCGCGGCAUAUACCUAGGACUUUAAGUGCUGUUCCAUCAUCUGCCUUAAAGCUGGCUGCAGCAGCAAACUGUCAGGUGCCCAAGGUUCCAGCUUCAUCCUCUGUGGAUGCAGUACCAAGGGAAAACCAUGAAACAGAAAAGCCAGCACUGAACAAUAUAGUGGACAAUACAGUAGCAAUGGAGGAUUCAGACCUUCAAGCAAGUCCACUACUUUGAAAUUGGUAGCUGAACAUCUUCCAAAUGAGUUCCAUCUCCAGGGCUUGAAUGCUUCUAUCAUAAAUAUAAAGGGAAGAGUAAACAUCUUUAAAAUCCCUCGUGGCCAGAGGAAAAAUUCUUUCACCUGUAAAGGGUUAAGAAGCUAGGAUAACCUCGCUGGCACCUGACCAAAAUGACCAAUGAGGAGACCAGAUACUUUCAAAAGCUGGGAGGAGGAAGAAAAACAAAGGGUCUGUCUGUGUGAUGCUUUUGCCAGGGACAGAACAGGAAUGGAGUCUUAGAACUUAGCUUUCAGCACCGCAGUGCCUGUCCCUGACAGCCACGGUUGGUGUGUUUGUGGCAUGCCUUCUUCGCGCAGGCAGCAAAGUUUUGCAUUGCCUUAGGCUCAUGGCCAGAACGGCACAGAGUGGAGAGGUCUCUUGGACCUGCAUCAGGGCAUGAAGCUCGGAACACACACACAGACUCCCCAACUUUGCCAACUGCAGCUUCGGACAGGGGUCCUUUCUCCAACCCCACACUGGAGUGCCCCACCGGGUGACACUUGAGGAAGCACCUGGGUCCCCACCGCAGGAAUUAAAAAAACAAACCAACAAAAAAAACAACCAGCUGUCCAGACAGUAACAGCACCGGCUGUGCUCGGGCGGCGGAGAGCUCUGGCACCACUGCAGCCAAGGACUGUGGGGGACGGCUCCGGCACAGGCACUGAGGGGAGGUCGGAACCCUGUGCCUCCAUGCCACAAUCUACAGCCGCUCUGCGGGCAGGCAUCCGGUGCCGGCACUGGCUGUGCUGUCAGCACCAGGAGCCAAAGUAGCGGAAAAUCCAGGCACCGCUGGCACUGCUAGAGCCAGAGACACUCUACGAGAGCUGGCUCCAACGCAGGCACGAGGGGGAAACCAAAACCCUGUGCCUCUGCUCCGCGAUCUACAAACGGCGGUGUGGCGCCGCUGCAAAAGGCGGCGGCUUCAAAGGGGCACCCAACACGCACAGAGGCACAGCCAGCAGCACCACCUUCUCCUCCGCAGCCCUGGCACUGACAAGGAGGCAGCCCCAGGGACCAAUCAAGCCAGCACAGCAGCGGUUCCUCAGACAGCGGGUUCUGGUAUUUGGCUCUGCCCCUGAUCCCCCUAUUCGUGGUACCGAUAUGAGAAUGAUACCCUCUGCACCAAGUCUCCCUGCGUCCCCAACAUCACUCACCGUGUCGCUCCUUAUUUGAAGGAGGAAGAACAGGAAGCUAUUCCCCCACCAGCCCCACUCCUGACUCCAUCAGGAGUCACUCCUGGGGCAUAUUAUGCUGUCCCCAGGUACUGACAGUGGUACGGGGACUCCCUAUGCUGCUCCCAUCCAAAUGGGCAUGCUGGAAUCCAUUGGUAAUAUGCCCCACACAAGGGGGGACUGCCCGCCAUGGCCAGACCAGCACACAGUAAUUCCCCACAGCUUCUGUACCAGCACCCUCAGUGGUACCAGGGGAAGAGGAGGAAGAACCCCCGCUUCUGCAGGGGACAUCACCUACCCACUUGCCAUCAUUGUCCAUAGAGGACACCUUUAUGCCUCCUCCCCCUAACAUAGGGGAUGAUUUCAAAUUGUUCCAUGGCUUAUUGAGAGGGUGGUCCUCUCUGGACAUCGCCCUUGAGGAGGUCGCCGUGAUACAGCAUGGGCUAGUGGACUUUUGCAUACAUCCGCUUCAUUUUAAAAAAAAAAAAAUUUGCCCUUCACAUGAAUGAGGCACCAGUGGACCCUGUAAUGGUCAUUCUGUGGACCCCUGUGGCUGCCCCUCCAGCCAGCGGGAGGUCCAACAGGAGGUGUGUACCAACAAAGGGCGCAGACUUCCCAUCCAGCACCUAAUUUCUUAGUGAUAGACGCAGUCCAGCGACAUGACAUACAACAGCAUACAUUUCGUGAUCCGAUGAAGUGAGCUGUAGCUCACGAAAACUUAUGCUCAAAUUGGUUAGUCUCUAAGGUGCCACAAGUCCUCCUUUUCUUUUUGCGAAUACAGACUAACGUGGCUGCUACUCUGAAACCUGUCAUAGGAGGUAACUGUUCACCUUAAAUAUGUUACAUUCAGCUUUAUGGUGUUAACAGCUAAGAAGUAUGCUAUCACAGCAUUUAUGAACUCUCUACUGAUUUUCAACAUAUAAAACUGAGGGGUUUUUUCCCACAAUAUCAAAUGAAAAUCUUUCUCUGGAUUUUUUGUAUUAUCUUGAUCACCAUAGUAUCUGGGUGCCUAUUCAACUACACUGAGGGAGAUGGCAGGGUUUAAAUCUUACAUAAUACAUAAGUCUAAACAUCAAGUAAAAUAUAUUCAACAUACUCUUUUUUUUUUUU